AUAAGAUGCAGGUGCAUCUCCAAACUACAAGAGAUCUAAAAGCAAACACAGAGGAAACUACAGAGAGAUCAACAUGAAGAGACAUAUACUGUUUUCUCUGGCUCUAACUCUGACUUUUUGCAGCUCAGGUUCUACAAUCAGCUGUGACACUUGUAAAGACUCCCCUGAUCCAACAUGCAAACAAUCAUCAGUGAAAGACUGUACAGCAACAGAAACCAUGUGCUUUGUAUCAGCAACACAAAUUACUCAGGGUGGAACGACUACUACCAGAAUAAUAAAGAAAUGUGCAGACUCCUCGCUGUGUCCAGUUGCAGACACACAGACAUACUCCUUAAACACUGGAUCUGGUCAAGUGUUUGCACAAGCCACCUGUUGUAAUGACCAAAACAACUGCAACAAAGAAACC